ensembl:lncRNA
GAAUUAUGAAAAUGACAUUAUUAUUCUAAUUGCUUGACCAAAGUAUGAGUUUUAAAUGAAUGAGAAAGUGCAUUGUAUCUUGAUAUUUUGUCUUGUACAUACAUUUGACCUAUUUGUGGAAAUGGAGACAUGCAGCACCACGCAUGCACUGUUAGGGAGUUUGUAUGUGUGUGUGUGUGUGUGUGUGUGUGUUUACGGGUGUGUGCUUCUAUGUACAUUUAUGUAUAUUUCUUUAUUAAGUAUUUAUUGUGUAAAUACCUGGAGUCCAAGAGCAUGACAAUUGAAAACUGUUCUGGGAUGCAAAGUCAAAGGAUGUUCAGUGUUGCUGGUGCCUCUUGUUAAACGUAGAGUGUUUUAUAUUGUUCAGAUUUAAGAUGAUUGUCUCAUCAAAGUUUGCACUGGGGUAGUUUAUAUAAGUGUGAAGAAAGAGCCAAAGCUUUAGAGUUGCCUCAAGGUUAAACUUUGAACCUAUUGACUGGACAGUAUUCCUCUGCGUGGUUGCAAUGAGGGAGAGAUGAAGAGGAAUGGUUUCUGCCUUUAUAGCACCACCUUAUUGGGCCAUUAUCGAAACAUACUAACCCAAUGACAGAACAGUGACUAUAUUUAAAACGUGAAUGUAAAUAAAAUCUCUGUAUCUGGUCUGGGUCUGUAGAUCGGUCAUGCUAUACAGUUAGAGAUACAUUCCGGGAUCUUAAGCACACCUGUAUACAGUGCCCUUCACAAUUAUUGGCCUCCUUGAUAAAGAUGGAAUGCUACAAAAAUAUGUUUUUAUUUAUUAGCACGAUCAAACACUGAAUAAAAAAACUAUAGAAACAAUCUUUAACUGAGGUUAAAUUGUUUAAAGAAAAAAUCAUCUUCAACAAGAAAUCAAUGUUUUUCUCAGGACGUCACAAUUAUUAUCAGCUCUAGAAGUUCUUGUGAACAAAAUCGAAUGCAAGUACAGUCAUUUUUGUUGUAGGUUCAUCAGUCACUACGAACUAUUUAGUGGUCACCUGUGACUUUCUGUUCAACUGGGGUAUACAUUUACAGACAUGCCAAACUCCCUAAGUCAUCUAUUAAUAUGUGAAAGGUGGAAGAACACAAAUUAAAUUAGACCAAAGUCUGUUGACAUUGAUAAAUUAUGUAAAAGUCAUAAAUACUGCUAUGUAAAUAACCAUGCCAACAACCUAUUUGGACAUCUUGACUAAAGAAAGCUUCUACUCUCGUCUGACCUUUGAACCCGGUUCCAAUAAAAUGUGCAGUGAUGGUUAGCAAACUCCAGCCACUGACAUUUAUUUAAUGACGAAAGUAGAGGCCUUGUCUAAUUGUAGUUUUUGAGCCUUGGUGGCAAAAAAAGAACAAAACAUAUUUUUCAGUGCAAAAUCACAAUCACAAAGCUUCACCAACUAAUCUUUAAAUGACACAAUCAUGCAACAUCAUUAACGUAUUUUUUCUUAAACAUAAAUAUUCUGUUAUUUUUAAACAAAGAAUAUAAUGCAAUCACAACAGACUACCCAACUAAACAUUGCUGCAUUGUUGAAAACAGUUGAGAAGAUAACUGUGGCGGACUAGACAGGUUUGUCUAGACAUUGACUGAGACGGAAAUAGAUCUUACUGAACAGUCCCAGUUGAUUAAAACAUCUUAAUUAUUGCCAUAUAAACAUUUCAAAUGUUUAACUUUUUUUUUAUAGCUAUAGCCUAAUUUAUGUUCAACAACCUUGGUCUGUUUUCUUUUGUGUGUUCUAUAACUUUUGCCAUGUUGAUAAAUGUUUAAAUGACCAUUAAAUGAACAUAUUUAC